GAGUCGACCCCUAAGGCGAGGCCGAAAGGCGUAGUCGAUGGGAAACAGGUUAAUAUUCCUGUACUUGGUGUUACUGCGAAGGGGGGACGGAGAAGGCUAUGUUGGCCGGGCGACGGUUGUCCCGGUUUAAGCGUGUAGGCUGGUUUUCCAGGCAAAUCCGGAAAAUCAAGGCUGAGGCGUGAUGACGAGGCACUACGGUGCUGAAGCAACAAAUGCCCUGCUUCCAGGAAAAGCCUCUAAGCAUCAGGUAACAUCAAAUCGUACCCCAAACCGACACAGGUGGUCAGGUAGAGAAUACCAAGGCGCUUGAGAGAACUCGGGUGAAGGAACUAGGCAAAAUGGUGCCGUAACUUCGGGAGAAGGCACGCUGAUAUGUAGGUGAAGUCCCUUGCGGAUGGAGCUGAAAUCAGUCGAAGAUACCAGCUGGCUGCAACUGUUUAUUAAAAACACAGCACUGUGCAAACACGAAAGUGGACGUAUACGGUGUGACGCCUGCCCGGUGCCGGAAGGUUAAUUGAUGGGGUCAGCGCAAGCGAAGCUCUUGAUCGAAGCCCCGGUAAACGGCGGCCGUAACUAUAACGGUCCUAAGGUAGCGAAAUUCCUUGUCGGGUAAGUUCCGACCUGCACGAAUGGCGUAAUGAUGGCCAGGCUGUCUCCACCCGAGACUCAGUGAAAUUGAACUCGCUGUGAAGAUGCAGUGUACCCGCGGCAAGACGGAAAGACCCCGUGAACCUUUACUAUAGCUUGACACUGAACAUUGAGCCUUGAUGUGUAGGAUAGGUGGGAGGCUUUGAAGUGUGGACGCCAGUCUGCAUGGAGCCGGCCUUGAAAUACCACCCUUUAAUGUUUGAUGUUCUAACGUGGACCCGUGAUCCGGGUUGCGGACAGUGUCUGGUGGGUAGUUUGACUGGGGCGGUCUCCUCCUAAAGAGUAACGGAGGAGCACGAAGGUUGGCUAAUCCUGGUCGGACAUCAGGAGGUUAGUGCAAUGGCAUAAGCCAGCUUGACUGCGAGCGUGACGGCGCGAGCAGGUGCGAAAGCAGGUCAUAGUGAUCCGGUGGUUCUGAAUGGAAGGGCCAUCGCUCAACGGAUAAAAGGUACUCCGGGGAUAACAGGCUGAUACCGCCCAAGAGUUCAUAUCGACGGCGGUGUUUGGCACCUCGAUGUCGGCUCAUCACAUCCUGGGGCUGAAGUAGGUCCCAAGGGUAUGGCUGUUCGCCAUUUAAAGUGGUACGCGAGCUGGGUUUAGAACGUCGUGAGACAGUUCGGUCCCUAUCUGCCGUGGGCGCUGGAGAACUGAGGGGGGCUGCUCCUAGUACGAGAGGACCGGAGUGGACGCAUCACUGGUGUUCGGGUUGUCAUGCCAAUGGCACUGCCCGGUAGCUAAAUGCGGAAGAGAUAAGUGCUGAAAGCAUCUAAGCACGAAACUUGCCCCGAGAUGAGUUCUCCCUGACCCUUUAAGGGUCCUGAAGGAACGUUGAAGACGACGACGUUGAUAGGCCGGGUGUGUAAGCGCAGCGAUGCGUUGAGCUAACCGGUACUAAUGAACCGUGAG
rnacentral:rRNA from 1 species